AUUUAUAUGAUAUUGUUGAUGAGAUUUUACAUGAUCAGUACGUAGUUUCUUUAUUUUAGCAUCGAAGGUUUGUGGUCGUUUUGGGUAAAGACAUCAUGUUAGCUUUUGAAAACUGAGCUGGUGAAAGUCUAUGGAGCAAUGGAGUUGAUAAUUCGAAUACAUUGUAUCAUACUAACAUACAUGUCUCAAAUUAAAAAAAAAAAAAAAAACAGAAGGGUCAACCAUAUCGAUUACAUAGUUGUACCACGUGACUCAAUUAAACCAUACAUUACAUAUAAACUAUAUAAUAAAAAGAAGUCUAUGAUUUCUCUAACUUUGAAAAUGUCUGCGACACCAAAAACUAUUCUCCACAAAUUCUAUCUUCUUUAUUUUUUUUUCUUCUUCUCCUGUUUUAAAGCCGCGUGCCGUAUUUGUCAUCUCCCCUUUACUAUUCAAGUUUCAAAGUACACUUUCAACUAGCUUUACUCAGUAGUCCCCCUUGUUCAAAGUACCAUCUGCUUGUCUGCCUCCUUAUUGUAUCUAGAGCGAAAGUCAAAAACCGUCGUCGAUCUUAGACAUGUUUAACCAUCAACCAAAAAAAAAAAAAAAAAAAAA
rnacentral:lncRNA from 1 species